rnacentral:lncRNA from 1 species
GAGAAACAUCUUCUCCAGGACAUCAUUGUUAGGACAUUGAAUAAACUUCCCAUUAAAUCUCUCCCAUACCUCAUAUAGAGGUUCUUUAUUCAAUUGACAAAAUUAGUGAUUUUGUCAUGCAAUUACAACAUCUUGGAUGGUGAGAAAUAUCAGUCAAAGAAUGCAACAAUAAGUUCCUCUCAUGAUGUGAUUGACCCGGUGGGAAGAGACCGUAGCCACAAUACCACCUCACAUAUUAGGGAAAAUGAAAAGAGGCACAAUUAUAUGGAUUCUUGUGAUAUAUGCGCAAUGUCGAAGGGGCCCCAAACUUCCAGAAAAUUCUUCAAAUUCAAAUAGGGGUCGUCAUGAAUUCCCCCCCCCCCCCAGAGAGACCUUUUCUUUAAAACAUGUGCAACAUAAAAAUUGUGAUGUGUAAUACCCCAUUCCCUUGAUUAUGUAGGAUACAGAUAGCCCUCGUACGUCCAACAUCAUGGAGUUGUUCCUCAUCAUCAAAGGACCCAUCAAAGGUCCCGCCAUUACUUGCAUGGUCACUUAUGGUGUCAUGGAAAAUUUUGAAAUCACCUAAAAAUAAAAUACAACAAUCAAAAUAAAUAACAACCACUACAGGUAAACCCAAAGCUACUAUCAACACUACACAAGGGAAAACUAAGUCUCACUCUCCAGCAAUGGCGCCAUUUUGAUAACUCUUAACUCACUUCAUAAUUUAUGGGCAAGGUGAUCGUUGUCAAGUAUAUUAACCAAAUGUGAAUUAGAGUCUAAUACUAGAGGAGUGGAAUUCAUCUUCUAAUCAUAUGGGUGUUAAUAGCUUAAAGAUAUACCCAUAAUGUAAAAAAUUAAAAUACAUGAAUUAAAAUAGGGGAAUUAUUUUGGAAAGUUAAUUUACCAAAAUCAAAUCAAACUACCAAUUCAAAAUAACAAAUUUGGCUAAGAUUUUAAUAUGAGCCGUCUUGUGAUUAUUUCUUCCUAGGUGCAAAUAAUGCAUAGGUUCAUGACAAUAGAAUGCAAAUUCUAGUUGAUGACUACAUGGGUAGCCUAGGUUAGGGGUUCCUCAGGCUAGUUUGUUAACCAAACCUCAAGAAUAUAACCCAUGGACCUUUUUGGAUACCUCAUGGAUGUGGCAACCCAAAACACCCAAUACGUUAAUUGGGAAUCCCUAUAUCUAGGAAGAUGCCCAAUACUUAGCUUAUUCUCAAUCCACUUUUAUUUUUAAGAUAAUGAAAUGGGAAUAAGUUGUACAUAAUGAUUUUUUUUGUUAAUGUCUUGUCUCUCAUAUCCCUCUUUCAAGGAUGAUAUAGGAUCUAAAAGUAUACUCAAAUCCCUCAUUAAAGGAUGAUAUGAGAUUUUGAAAAUUUAGGGUUUUCACCCACAAAUCCAUUUUGGGAAUUUGGGGUUUUCACCCUGAAAUCCGAACUCAAUAAAUAAAGACAUAGUGAAACCAUCAUCAAUAACCAAGAAUCUACACUAAUAAAUAACAAUCCACACAUAUUUUUACCCUAUUUCAACAUAAUCUAAAAAUAAAUGUUUAUUUACUCAUGAAGUUAAAAGAAAGGAAUAUACCAAAAGGAUCACUCAAUGCUUCCAUGGAAAUUAAAAGUAAGAGUAAUCCAAUAUCCAACUUCAAUUACAAUCAAAACUACUUGAGAAAUUAGCCACAAAAUAGUUUCCCAAUUUUGUAGGGUUUCAAAUUGUUCAAAAUUUAAUUCUAGUUGGGAAGGUACCCAAAAAAGAAAGGGUUUUUGCACUAUAAUGGAUUUAGGGUUGGUUUUGAAAUUUCAAAUCUACCCCUUGGCAUAAACCCGUGCUACCACAAUCUCCCCACCUUGAUCGUAAUUCCGACUCCCACGAUUGCAAUGAGUCCUUCCCAAUUGAAGGCUCUGAUUAAUCUUGACUGCCCGCGAUCAUGGUAACUGAGGUCAGAUCCUACUCUUGCUUUUCAAGCUUUUGCACUUACUUUCCCUUUUUGAUCAUUUUUAGCUCACUUUACUUCUUUUUAUCUCAUUACCUAUAUACCUAUAAAAUAUUAGAAUUAGUACAUUCAAUUACCAAAGUUGUCUUAUUUAUACUAUUAAAUCAUAGUAGCAUGCAUACAUUUGGGCAUAAAUGACUAGUAAAUUUACCACUAAUUAAUUACCAUGGACUUUAUUUGUGGUUUACCACGUACUUCCUAUGGUUAAAAUAGUAUUUAAGUCGUUGUGGAUGGGUUGAACAAGUGAGCAUAUUUCAUUCCUAUUUAGAUAUCCUUUAGUGCUGGGAGCUUAGCUCGUAUCUAUGUUCUAGAGAUAGUUUGUUUGUAUGGCAUGCCCAUCUCUUUUAUUUCAGAUCGGGGUUCCAUAUUUACUUCUAGAUUUUAGAAAAAAUUUUAGAAGAAGUUGGGUACUCAAGUGGACCUUAGUAUAGGCUUUCAUUCGUAGAUAGAUGAUCAGUCGAAGUGAACUAUUUAGGUUCUUGAGGAUGUGCUUUGAGCCUUUAUUAUGGAUUUCGGAGGCUAGUGGGAGAAAUACUUAGCCUUGGAAGAGUUUGCAUAUAAUAAUAGGUAUUAUUCAAGUAUUGAGAUGGCACCUUUUAAGUCUUUAUAUAGCAGGUGAUGUCAUUCCCCUAUUGGAUGGUUUGAAAUAUCCAAGAUUAGACCCCGUGGUAUUGAUUUACUUUAGGAGUUGUUAGAUAGAGUUAAAGUAAUUCAAGAUAAGUGGAGAGCAUCUCAGAGUAGGAAGAAGGCCUAUGCAGAUCGUAUUCUUCAUACCUUAAUAUUUGGUGUUGGUGAUCGGGUGUUUCUCUGUAUAUUGCCCAUGAAGGGUGUAUGAGGUUCGAGAGGAAAGGAACGCUCAGCCCCAGAUAUAUUAGACCUUUCAAAUUUUUUGUACCAUUGGUGAAGUGUCUUAUGAGUUAGCCGUAUCUCAAAUAUUCCUUAUAUCCAUCUUAUUUUCUAUGUCUCCAUGUUAUGAUGAUAUAUUUCUAAUCAAUCUUAUGUACUUAGAUGGGAUUCAGUACAAUUGGAUGAGUGGUUGAACUUUGUGGAGGAGGCUGUUAUCAUUUUUGCUAGUGAUGUUAGGUAGUUAUACAAUAGGGAGUUUCAUGUAGUUCAGGUUCAGAGGAGGCAUCACCUAGUUAAGGAGUUCACUUACGAGAUUGAAAGUGAGAUGUAGACCCAGUAUCCCCACAUGUUCGAGACUUCAGGUACAUCCUAAUUCUUAACUUUGAAGAACGAAUGUCCCUUUUAGUAGUGGAUAUUGUAAUCACCCUUUAGGUUAUUUUGCAUCAUUUUGCUUAUUUCUGCCAUUAGAUCUUUUCUAUUUUUAUCCCAAGUCAUUUAUAACAAGUUAUAACUGACAAUUCAAUUAUUGAGAAGCUCAUUUGUUUUUUAGAGACAAUUCCCUAUUUUGAAAUCUUCACUGGUUCUAACUAGUUACCAAGCAAAAACUUCAUUCAAACAAUCUCGUAUGCAAAUUCUAGCUAUUCCAGCAUCUCCAAAAUAUCAAUUUUGGCUAAGAGGAAUCUUAGUUUAGGUGUUGAGGCACCUGGGUUCAUUUUGAACUAUUUAUCAAAAAGUUAAGAAAAUAGAGUAUAGUUGGGGUACCUACUUUUUGUUGAAAUGACCCUGGAUUAAAAUUUUAACUACACCAUAGAGUUCGAAACAUAGAAUUUGGUAUAGUUGCAUGGUCCACUUGCAUAUAACCUAUUUUGAAUGAAUCUCGAAGGGUUGGCGGAGUCUUGGAUAAUUCCAAGUCUUAACUGUAUCUGGUGCACUCGCUAAUAGUGAGCCAGGUGUCUCUAUCGCGAUACCCUUAGUAGUAUAUCAUGUUCCACGAUAACGGGCACAAGUUGUGAACAUAGCAUGAUAGUCCCCAGAAGCCGUGAUUGCGAGGUGCCGAGCCGUUAUAGCGAUAUCCGAACACCUUGGAUGGGUAUAAAAUGCCCGUCAUAGCCCAUUUUCCCCAUUCUUCAUCAAUUUCAAGAGAUCUCUAAAAUGACCCUUUUAGCCCAUUUUCUCCCCAUUCUUCAUCUUUUCUAAGAGAUCUACAUACUUGAAGAGUACAAUAGCUUAGGGUUUAAUAUUGUAGUGUAUUUGGGAAGCUUGAUUAAUGCUUACUUAUUGAUUCUUCUUUUGAUUUGAGGUAAGAUUCCUGUAAUUUCAUUUUGGUUUUCUCUUUUCUUGUCCAAAAUUCCUAAAACUUGCGGUCUUAAAUUUAACAGUGAUGCUCGGAUUUCACUCAUUUCUUAGGGUAAUUGCUACUUCAGCAUGAGGAAAUAUAGGGUAGACCUUGCAAACGUGAUUUCUAUUAAUGGAACACACAUAGGGUUUUGGUUUGACUUUUGGACUCGACAAACAAUGGUGCAAUGUGGGUAUCAUUAUUAUUGUAAUGAUGAGUAGAAUAUGAUUUUAAUAGAGUGGAAUAUAGUGGAAGCUUAUCAAAAGGGAAAAGUUGGUGAUUUAGCAGAUCGUUUGAGAUUUCUUAGGAGCCUAGGUAGGCUAGGCUUACCUUCCUUAUAGAUUGAGCUAGUUCAUAGUAUUUUCAUGAUAUUGUGUUAGAUUUGUGAUGGGUUUUUAGGUGUUGGAGUGGUGAAUUUCAAGACCUGGGUUAGUUGGAACAUUUAGGCUACCUUGAAACCGUAGACUUGGAGUACAAAACUUACUUCCUUUUGCCUUCGGUGAUUCAGGUUUCAUGGCUCAUGUUUUGAAUGAGAAUAUUGUUGCACCCAAGCGCAGGCAAGUGUACGUGGUCUCACCAAGUAAUACAAUGUCCUUAAUUAAAGUCGAACAUCGAUCCCUCAGAGACUUAUAUUGACAACUUAUCCAAUUCUAGUUCAACUACUGAGAUAAAGUAACCAACGGAGUUUUAGAGUUGUAAACUAAAAGUAAAUUAACUAAUUCGGAAAAGUAAAGACUUUGGACAAUAAAUAGAUAAAGAACCAGGGUUAAGGCUUACGAACAAUCAUACUAAGCCAUUGAACUUCAUUAGUUAGUCUACAUAGCUUGGUUAAUGAUUCGUAGUGUUUAUCGCAUGAUCAUGGUCUCUCGACCUCUAAUCGUCUACCUAACUUGAACAUUUCAACCACAUCAUUGAAAGGGGAUGUAAUAAUCCAAUUAUAUGCAUGAAGAUAUCAUCCUACAUAUGAAAUAAACAAGGCUUCUAGGUAUAUCCCUAUCCUAGUCGCUAAUUCAAAUUCCUUAUUUUAUAAAAGAAUAAGAACUAUGUUCUAUCUAUCCCCAUGUUCUAUCUUCUUAUUUCUCCUCCCGAGCUCACAGUGAUGACAAUUGAUGUAUACUAAGGGUAGAUAAUCCUUAAAAUAGUUAAAACAAGUAUAAAUAAACAACUACAUAUGACAAACAAUAAAAACCAAAUCAAUUCAAAGCAAUAGUAAUCAUGUUCUUGGCCUUAACCCCGGAAUAGGGCUUUUAGCCACUCAUGGACAUAGCCGUAAUCAAGACAAUUUAAUACAAGAUAAAAUCCAUUUAAAAUCUAAAGUAAAAGAAUAAAAACCCUAAUAGAAGUUUUUUCCAUCCCUUCUCCAAUUUUCAAAGCCGUCCAAGGUCCGUCCAAAAGUGAAUACAAACAAGGGAAGGAAUCCUAUUUAUAGUAGUGCACUUCGGCCAUGUGUGGACUAAGAAACAUGCCGCAUUGGUCCAGCCUAUUGGAGAGAGAUGUGCAUUGGGGAGAUUAUUCGAAUGGAAAUAUUUCCGCCUCUCCUAUCUUUCUGCAAGGGAGAGAGAUCUUUGAUGCAUCCAUAUCACGUGGGCUCUCUGGAAAUUGCAUUUUCCAAGUUAACUUUGUCUUAACCCUUUCUCUUUCCAUCCCAACCUUAUGGUGUUAUUUUUCUUUAUUUUACAGAUUGAAUUUCAUCCAUAUAUCACCAUAAUUAAUAAAAAAAGCAUCCUCAUGAUCAAAACCAAAAUAUAAGAACUCAAAACAACACGAUAUCAAAAACGUUGAACUAGAAACUCGAGCUAAGAUUUGGCUUACCCAUAUUGAUCUUUACUUCAUGUUUUGACUCUUAGCUUAAUUCAAUUACACUUUGAACAUUAUAAAAAAAAUUUAAACAAAUAAUUACACAAUAAAACCAUUAUUAAAUUAUUAAAAACAUUAGAAUCCAUCUCGAUAGACUAGAACAACACCUAGCUCAAGCUAGUAAAACUAUUUUUCUCAUCUAGACUCUAAGUGAUCAAUUUGAACCCAAACAUGUUUAAAACACCUUUAAACAUAGUAAUCACAUACUUAAACACUUAGAUUCUCAAUUAUAUCAUCAUUAACACAUAAAGAAAAUGAAUUUCCCUAAAAAAAGGAUAAAUAAGCUAGGAUAACAAUACUAAAAUGCAUAAAUACACCCAACAUCACCACCUCACACUUAAAGCCUUGUUCAUCCUCGAACAACUCUUUAAUCUAAGCAUCAUAAGAAGAGGAUACUCUAAAACUCUACUACACGCAAGACAGUCAAUCUAGUACUACAAUGACAACACAAAAUACAAGUUUCUAUACUAAGCAUCUUACAUACACAAUUGACAGUUCAAGAAUACUACUUCAAAACAUCCUAGACUGAAGAAUUGACUCACCUAGUUAGCUAAAUCAAUCACAUUGUUAAAUUAAAUACAUCAUAUAAUUCACCCAAAAUUUAUCAAACAUGUUCCCCUACAACAAGAGUGUUACCCAUAAUCACUCACAAUCAUUCAAUCCAUAACAGAAUGGGUAAAAAAAUCAAAUUGUGCUCACUCUCACAAAGAAUUCACGUUACAAAUAAUGAACCUUAGGCUUUCCCUCAUAGUAGUACUCAACUAAUAUCAAAAUAUUGAAGCUUAAGAUCAAAUAGGUCUUUAAUGGUUGUAAUGCAGGCUAAGGGACGGGUAAGAACUAUUUUGGCGAAGAAUAGUACCUAUCUUCCCUAAGUGCUUUAAUACAUCACACAUGUCAUUUAGCUCACCUUUAAUAACCUAAUUACACCACUUCUAUCUACCCUUAUACUUUAUUUUUCCCUAUCUCAUUAAGCUCACUCACAUGCACUAUGGUGAGAGUAUUUUCUAUGCCUAACUUAUCAAUUUGAACACAUUUUUAUUCUUUUAAUUACUCCACUCCCAACCACAACACACAUCAUUUUUCUAAACACCAAUAGCGAUUACUAGGGGCUUCAAUUUCACCUUUACUUUUUGAAUUUCCAACUCCUUAAACUCAAUUAAUUUUAUAGUAAAGAGCUUAGGAGCUUUUGGAUCAAAUUUAGGCCUAUCAUAGAAGGGAUUGGGUUACAUAUGAGGCUUCUAAAGAAAAAGCUAAAGGAUCAGCAGGGUUCAACUAGGAUUAUGCCCAAGGGUAGGUAAAAGAGAGUAUGAAACAAGGCUAGUAAAGAAAUUCCUAUAUCAUCUCCUAAACCCAUAUUCUUUAUUUUAUUCUGCACACACACCAGGCAAGUUCUAGACAUCACAUGCAACAAGGAAUAUACAAAUAACUCACACACUCAUGAAGCAUUCUCAAAUCAAGUAGGAUCAUGAUAGACUCUUACCUAAACAAUCACAUAAAUUCAACUUUAAGCCAACAAGUACAUGAGUCGUACUGAUGAGCCCUCCAAUUUCAAAAGUAGUAGUUCACACAAUCAACAUGCUUUUACAACCAACACACUUGCAUCAUGUAGUCAAAUAUAGAACUAACAAGAACAUCGCACACUUAUUCCUAACACAAAAAAUUUUAAAGUACUCCUAAAAAAUAAGAAUUUCCCCACCCCACACUUUAAAAUCUACUUUAUCCCCAAAGUAUACUUUAAAUGGUAUAGAUAGAAAUACUACCUCAGGCAUCUAGGACUACUAACAACAUCUUUACAUAUCAAGGGGUCUGAAGACCUAACACUUAGUCUUUGCCGUUCUCCUUAGCUUAGGUUUUUCGGUACUCAGUCUUCCCAUAAACCUGUGACUCAAUAUGACUCAACAAGAACCAAAACUAGUGAAGUAAAAAAACUAAAAAUACUAAAAAUAAAACUACCCUUACUUGGUUUCCUACCAAGAAGCACCUGAUUUAGUGGUGCAACACGACACAAUCUACACUUAUCCAUUUUUGUUCAUUUUUUUCCUCACAUUAGGACACCGUCUUCUUAUUCAUUUAUGACCUCUUGAGUGUGAACUCUAAAGGUCAAAAACAUUCUAAACUUUAUACCUUUCAUGAUCAUCAAUUUCCAUCAUGUCGGGCUGAGGUAUUGUAGGUUUGGACUGCUCAAUAAGGAAGUCCGAAGAGGUAUUUUGUGGGACAGACUCCACUACCACACACUCACCCCAUUCAAUUAAUGUAAUCAUGCACAAAUCUUUGUAGUAGGAUAGUUUGUUGAGAGGCUUGUAUAUUUUGAACAUCGCCACUUCAUCAUCCAGCCUCAUUGAGAGCGUUCCUUUUCUCACAUCUAUAAGAUCUCCUCUUGUUACUAAAAAUAGAUUUCCCAAGAAAAAUGGUACUCUUUUGUCUGCCUAAAAUCUAAAAUAAUUAAAUCAAUAGGAUGAUCCCUUCGGGAUGGGCUAUGGUUCGGUUUGCCAAUUGAAGUAUCACAGUACUUGGUCUAGGCUUUCCCAGGCCUAAGGUAUUAAACAAGGAGAGGGGCAUCAAUUUGAUACUUACCCCCCAAAUCACUUAGUGCAUAGACCACCUCGCUGUUACCAAUUUGAAUUAGGAAAGUAAAAUUCCCAGGGUCCUUAAGCUUUUAGGGCAUUCUAUGCAUCACCAUAGAACUACACUCCUCAAUAAGUUCUACUAUCUCAACAUCCUGCAGCUUAACUUUUUAGUGACCACAUCCUUCAAGUACUUAGUAUAAUUGGGCAUUCCCUCCAAAACAUAUAAAAGAGUAAGGUUAAUAUGAAGCUUUCUAAAUGUGUUAAUGAACUUUUUGAAGCAUGAAUUCUCAUUUUCCUUUAUAUGCUUCUGUGGGAAAGGUAAUGGUGGUCUCUCAUUCACCUUUGAAUAAAUUUUGUUUUUGAGUACUCAGACUUUCAUAAUUUUUUAGUAGCUUUUUCAUCUACCUACUUAGGAGCCUCUUCUGUAUUUAUCUCUUUGGUUUUAUUUAGAGGUCCUUCAUUAAGAUUUUUACCAAUCCUCAAAGUGAUGUCCAUUACUUGUUUAGAAUUUUUAGUAUGACUUGGCAAACCACCUUGAGGCCUGAUAUUUUGUGACUUUGUGAACUAACCAAUUUGAAACUCUAAGCUGCAUGCUAGCUCUUUAUAUCUGCUGCCAAUUAGACUUAAGUAGCCAUAAUUUGCUUUAAUAUCUCUUACACAUUGCUAGUCUGAGUUGUGCACUAAUUAUUCUGAACUUGUUGUUACCGAUACUGUUGCUGAUUGUUCCAUCAAGUAUUUAGUGGCUGAGUCUGCCACUUUUGAUUGUAGGAAUUCGCAUAAUUCAUUCUUUGAACAUUACCCAUAAAUUUCAUAGACUCAGGAUUUGUAGCACACAUAGACGCUGAAUACCUAUUGUUACCACAAACCUUAUACCAACCUGCAGUCUGUUCAAUUGCAUUGACUGUGGCUGCAAGCUAUGUAACCCCUAACUUCAUACUGCUUUUCUUAUUUUGCAGAGAAGCAAUAUGGGUAGAUAUAGAAGUCAAUUGGUCAACCUGUAAUACACCUGCAACCUUCUUUGUCAUGCUUCUUAAGGUAAAAAAGCAUUCAAGAUUCCUUUGAGCAAUCCAGUUCAACAAAGUAUAAAGGUCAUUAUAAUUCAACUCCAAUGCUUAACCACCUGUAGCUGAAUCUAGCAAAAUAUUUGUGUUAUGGCCACGUGCCUCAACAAAAGUGUGAGCUAAUAUGCUAUUGGAUUGCUGAUGAUAUGGAUAGUCCCAAAAAAGAUCUCUGAAGCGCUCCCAAGCAUGAUAUAAAUUCUUAUCUGGCUUCUGUUUAAAGCACAAAAUCUCACUUUGUAGUUUUGCCGUCUUGCCAGAUGGAAAGAAUUGGAUGGAUAAUUUUGAGCUAAGUCAUCCUAUGUUUUGAUUGAACUUUUCAGCUCAGCGUUUAACCACUUCUUUGCUUCCCCUAUUAGUGAAAAGGGGAAUAGUGCCAGCCUACAUAAUCCAUUGUCAUACCCAUUGGGAUGAAUGUGUCAAUGAUCUCCAGAAGGUUAUGUAGAUGGUCUUGUGGAUCUUUAUGUGAAAGCCUGAUAAAUUGUCCACUUCUAAUCAAAAGCUGAACCAUAUUCUGCUUCAGCUCAAAAUUACCUCCAGUGGCUGGUUUUAUAAAAAAGGGAGGUCAAAUUUAUCUAAAGUGGUAUUGCCACUUCACGAAUUAUCCUGCAGGGUGGUUGAACUUCAGCCAUUAGAGCAGGAUUGUCUUGUUUCUCUUGAAAUUAUAGGAUAUGAGGGAGAAGAAUUGCUUUUCUCCUUAAUUUAUGGAAGCGUUGCUCGGGUUCGGGGCUUGGUACAACUAACUCCCUAACCAUUAACAGUUUUCUAGCCUAUAAACCUAUGUCCUACAAAUUAAAUCCCAAAAAAAAGAGUAAAGUACCAAAGAAAUCUAAAAACUAAAAAUAAAACAGUUGCCAAAUUAUAAGUCCCCAGCAACAACUGCCCAAGUGCUCACGCAAGUGUACGUGGUCUCACCAAGUAAUACGGUGGCCUUAAUUAAAGAUGAAUAUCAAUCCCUCAGAUACUUGAGUUGACAACUUAUCCAAUUCUAGAUCAACUAUUAAGAUAAAGUAACCAAGAGAGUUUUUGAGUUGUAAACUAAAAGUAAAGUAACUAAUGUGGAAAAGUAAUGACUUUGGACAAUCAAUGGAUGGAGACGCAGGGUUAAGGCUUAUGAACAAUCAUACUACACCAUUGAACUUCAUUAGUUAGACUACAUAUCUUGGUUAAUUAUUCAUAGGUUUUAUCGCAUGAUCAUGGUCUCCCGAUCUCUAAUCAUCUAACUAACUUUGACUUUACAACUACAUUAUUGAGCGGGGAUGUAAUAAUCCAAUUGGAUGCAUGAAGCUAUCAUCCUACAUUUGAAAAAAACAAGGAUUCUAGGUAUAUCACUAUCCUAGACACUAAUUCAAAUUCCUUAUUUUAUAAAAGAAUAAGAACCGUGUUUUAUCUAUCCUCACAUUCUAUCUUCUUAUUCCCCCUCCCAAGCUCACAAAUUCGACAAUGGAUGUAUCCUAAGGGUAGAUACUCCUUAAAAUAGUUAUAACAAGGAUAAAUGAGCAACCAAAUAUGAUAAUCAAUCAAAACUAAAUCAAUUCAAAGCAAUAGUAAUCAUGUUCUUGACCUUAACCCUGUAAUAGAGCUUUCAGCCACUCAUGGACAUAGUUGUAAUCAAGAUAAUUGGAUACAAGAUAAAACCCAUUAAAAAUCUAAAGUAAAACAAGAAAAACCCUAAUUGAAGUGUUUUCCAUCCCCACUCCAAGUUUCAAAGUGGUCCAAGGUCCAUCCAAAAGUGAAUACAAACAAGGGACGAAAUCUUAUUUAUAUUAGUGCACUUUGGUUAUGUGUGGACUAAGAAACAUGUUAUAUUGGUCCAGUCUCUGGGAGAGAGGUAUUCAUCAUAGAUAUUAGUCCCAUGAUAGAGGUCUGCAUCAUCUAGUUUACUGCAAGAGAUAGCAGUCUGCAACGCAUCCAUAUUGCAUGGGCUUUUUGGAAAUUAACAUGAAAAUUUUGCUAGAUCAGCUGUAGGUUGUCAGGAUCUAGAAAAUACUUAUAAUGAGCUAUAUAUAUUGUUAAACUGGAUUGCACAAGGAAAUCCUUAUUGGCAUGGUGUUCCUCAAGAGACUCAAUAAAAAAGGCUGCAAACAUGAUUAAAUAUAAUAAUAUUACAACAUUAUCCACCCAACAUCAGUUUUAUAGAACCUAAUAAUGACACUAUUUAUCAAGUUGGGUGUACAACAGUCUUAGACUUAGGUGAAUGUAGUGCAACAAACUCUAUCAUGGUGUAAGGUUUGUGGCAAUAGUGGCAAGUCUGCAGAUAUGUGUAGUGUAAAUCUCGAGUCAAUCAAUUUUAUGGGUAACGCUCAAAGGCCAAAGUAUGGUAAUGACUACAACCAAAAGUGGCAUACUCAGGCACUAAACUAUUCAUGGAACAGUAAUUAUCAACUUCAGUAGCAACAAAAUAGACAGGCUAGUAGCAUAGAAGUUAUGUUAAAGAAGCUCAUGGACAAUACCCAUGAACAGAUAGAUGAUGAACUCAAAAAUUAGCAAGUACUUUUGAAGUAAUUGGAGUACCAGUUGGGAAAAAUAUAGUGCCAGGCCUCAUGAUGGUUUUCCAAGUGAAAAUAAACCUCCUAAAAAAGUAAUUACAAUCACUUUAAGGGGUAAGGAGUAAAAAGUUGAUUGACAUUCCUCCAAAGAUAAAUAAGGAGAUAUAUACAAUGUUGAUACCUCAAUCGAUUGCAGACAAAGUUGGUGAUUAUUUGGGAUAGUUUGAGUACUUAAAAAUAAAAGUUGUUGAACAGGUUAAGGUAUAUCCACCACCUCCAUUUCAACAGAGGCUAAUAAAAGCAGAGGAGGAUGCCUGCUUGAAGAAGUUCUUUGACAUUUUUAGAGUGCUUCACAUUAACCUUUCUUUUUUAGAUAUUUUGUAGGGAAUGACCAUGUAUGCUAAGUACUUGAAGGACAUGGUGAAGGAGUAUAGCUCUAUGGUGAUGCAGAAGAUGCCCAAAAUGUUUAAGGAUCCUUAGAUUUUCACUUUUGCCAUACAUAUUGGAAAUAAUGAGGUGGUCCACGCCCUGAGUUACUAGGGGCAUGUAUUAAUUUGAUGCCCCCAUUGAUGUUUAAUACUUUGGGCUUGGGGACACCGAGACCAAGAUCUUUAAUACUCCAUUUAGCAUACCGAUCAUUAAUCCGUCCAACAGAAAUCACUGAGGAUGUUCUCAUCAAGGGUAGUAAGUUUAUUACUCCUACUGGUUUAAUAGUUUUGGAUUAUAAGGCAUAUGAAAGGGUUCCAAUCAUCUUAUGACAUCCAUUCAUGGAGAUGGGAGGAUCAUUAAUCAAUAAGGUUGGAUGAAGAAGUGGUGGUCUUUUAAGCAUACAAACAACUCAAUACACUAUCCCACUACAAAGUUUUAUGCAUAAUUAUAGUGGUGGAAGUGGAUGAGUGUGGGGUGGUAGAGCCUAAUCCACCAAAGCCAUCUUCAGACUCUCUCAUUGAGUUGUCUAAACCAUAAAUAGCUAAUCCUAAAGUGAUUUUGAUUGAGGAUCCGGAAAAGGAUAUUGUUGAAAAAGUUGUUGACCUUGAGAGUUCAUACUUAAGAGGUCAGAAAUGAGUGAGAAGAUAGCAUCCGAGUAUAAGGAAGAGGGUAAAGGAAAAUGGUUAAGUGUGAUGAUUGGGUCAUACCACGAUACUAAAUUAGGUGCUUCUUGGGAUCAACCCAAGUUAAGGUAGGUUAUAUUUUCAAUAUUUUAGUUUUUACUUAAGGUAGUUUUUUUUGAGUCACAGGUUGACGGGAUGUGUAAGUAUGGAAACCUAAGCUAAAGAGCAUGGCGAAGACUAAGUGCGGGGUCCCCGGAUUCUUUUGAUGUAAAAAGAUGCUACUAGUUAGUUCUAGAGGCCUCAGAGAGUAUUUAUAUCUCUAUACUUUGGGGAAAAAGUAGAUUUUUAAGUGUAGGGUGGGGAAAUUCUAAUUUAGGAGUAAAUAUUUAAAAUUUUUGUUUUAGGUAAGUGAGAUAUUCUUGUUGGUGCUAUUUGUGAUUGUAUGAUGGAAGAUAUUUUGAAUACAAAAGCCAUGUUGAUUGUGUGAAUGACUUCUUUUGAUACUCCUACGCUCAUGAUUAUGACUCUUGUCACACGUUGGCUUAAUGUUGAAUUCAUGUUAUUGUUUUGUUGAGAAUCUAUGAUGAUCCUACUUGAGUUGAGCAUAUGCCAUGAGUUUGUGAGGUGUUUGAAUAUUUCUUGUUACAUGUGAUUUGUAGAACUUGUUUGGUGUGUAUGCAAAGUAAAAUAAAGAGUGUGGGUUAAGGAGAUAAUAUGGGCAUUUCUUUGUAGCCAUGUUUUAUAACCCUUUUAACCUACCAUUGUGCAUAUUCCUAGUUAGAACCAUUAAGUCUUUAGCUUGUUUAUUUAGUAGCCUCAAUGUAGCCUAAUUCCCUUUUUUGACUGACCUUGAGUUGAUCCAAAGAUCCUAAGCGCUUUAGUGUAAAAUUAAUUGAGUUAAUAAGUUUGAAAUUCAAGUAGGAGAAAGGUCUAACUGAAGCCCCAAAGUAAUAGUUAUUGUUGCAUACAAGUGAUGUGUUGUGGUUAUGAGUGAACAAAAUUUGUGCUAAAAUUGCAUCAUGAAUUAAUAGACAAUACUCCCUUCCAUAUUUUAUGUGAGUGAACUUAAUUAUGUGGGAUAAAACAAAAGGUGUUUGUAGAUAGAGUGGUGAAAGUUGGUCGUUAGAAGUUAAUUGAAUGAAAAGUGUAAUGUAUUAAAGCGCUUAGGGAAGAUAGUCACUAUGAAUGGUAAAAAUAGUUUUUGCCCAAACCUUAGCAAACAUUACAACCGUUAAAGACCUAUUUGAUCCUAAGUCAUAAAAUUUAGAUAUUAGUGGAGUACUACACUAAGGGGAAGCAUAUGGUUCAUCUUAUGUAACUUGUGAAUUCUUUGUGAGAGUGAGCGUAAUUUGAUUCUUGUACCCCAUUUGCAAUAAAUUACAUUUAUGUUAGUGAUUAUAGGUAACUCUCUUAUUAUGAGCGAACAUGUUUGAUAAGAUUUGGGUACUUAGUAUGAUCUCCUUGAUUGAACAAUAUGUAUGAGUUUUCCCAACUUGGUGAGUCAAUUCUUGAGGUUAGGAUUUUUUUAGUAGUAUUUUUGAGCCUUCAAUUAUGUAUAAAAUGUUUAGUGUAGAUACUUGCAUUUUGUGUCAUCAUCUAAUGUAAUUUUGAGUGUAUUGCUGAUUGUAGAAGUUUGGAUUAUCCUAGGAUUAUGAUACUUAGAGUAAAGAGUUUUUUAUGGACAAACAAGGCUUUAAGUAUGGGGUUAUGGUCUGAGGUGGAUUUAUGCACGUCAAUGUUGUUAUCCGAGCUUAUUUAUCCUUAUUUUGAGUACUUAUUUUGUUCUUGAUAUUUUCUGAAUGGUAUAAAUAAUCAUAUAAGUGUUAAAUUACUUAAUUACAAUGGUUAAGGUGUUUUUCAAACAAGUUUGGAUUCAAAUUGAUCACUUAGAGUUUAAUCGAGAAAACUAGUAUAACUAGUUUGAGCUAUAUAUUGUUCUAGUUGAUCUCAAUGAAUUCUAGUCUGAAUUAUGAGUUCAUAAUGAUAUUAUUGUGUAAUUAUGUGUGUAAAAGCAUGUUUAUAGUUUUCAAGGUUCAAUUGAAUCAAGCCAAGGGUCGAACCUAAGUUUAAGAUCAAAAGUGCAAAACUAGUUCUUAGCUAAAGUUUCUAGUUCACCGUUGUGCACUAUGUAUUGUUUUAAACUCUAAUUCGUGUUUUUUGAUGAUAUUGGAUGCUUUUUGAUUUAAUUAUGAUUAUAUAUAGAUGAUAUACAAGCUGAAAAUCAAUUUUUAAAAACAUCACAAGGCUUGGAAUGGAUAGACUGAGGCAAAGGAGCAAGAUUUAAUGAAAAUGGACACUUUGGAGCCUAUGGCACGUUGCGGACCAUAGAAAAGGCUAUAAGGUCUGUGCCACGUACUUGGAAACUUCCUAAGUAUGAUUUCAAGUUUAUACCCAUGAUCAGGACAUGAUGCAUACCCUAGUCCAUUGAAUAAGUGGCGCAACACGGACCUAGUGCAAAUUCGACCAUAUUUGUCCUCCUAUAAAUAGGACACUUGAACACAAUGCAAAACACCUUGGACGGCUUUGAAACUUUGAGGGAGGCUAGAUAAAAAUUUAAAUAGGGUUUUUUAUUUCCUUACUUUAGUUUGUUUAUGGAUUUUAUCAUGUAUUUAUCUAUCGUAAUUAAGGUUAUGUCCAUGAGUGGCUAAAAGCCCUUUUCCGGGGUUUAGGCCAAGAACAUAAUUACUCUUGUUAUGAAUUUAUUUGGUUUUUAUUAUUUAUAAUAUUUGGUUGUGCAUUUAACCUUGUUAUUACUAUUUUAAGUAUUUUGGACCCUUAUACUACAUCCAUUGUCAUUUUGUGAGCCCGGGAGGAGGAACAAGGGGAUAGAAUAUGGGCUAAAUAGAGUAGGAUUGUAAUUUUCUACAGAAUGAAGUUAUAAUUUGUACUUAGGAUAGGAAUAUACCUAAGUGACCUUUUUAGUUCACUUAUGGGAUGAAAUAUUAAUGCAUUUAAUUUAGUUCUCUCAUCCUCGCUCCAUGAUGUAUUUGUGGGUCUAAGUUAUGUAGGUGAUUAGAGGCUCGGAAGACCAUAGUCGUGAUAUCAACCUCGUGAAUCAACAACCAAGAUAAGUAACUUAACUAAUGAAGUUCAACAGCAAAGUAUUAUUGUUCAUAGAGCCUUAAACCUGGGUUUCUCCCCAUUUAUUGUCAAACAACCUUUAUUUUUUCGCAUUAUUUACUCUACUUUUACUUAUAACUCUCAAACUCUCGUGGUUACGUCUGCACUAAUUUAAUAUCAAUAGUGGACUAGAAUUGAGUAGUUAUCAACACAAGUCUCUUAGGUAUCGAUACUUGGCUUGCAAAAGGACAUUAUAUGACUUAGUGAUACCACGUACACUUUUAUAUACACUUGGGUGCAACAGAGUACAACUACUUGACAUCCCUGGCUAGUAUGAACAUAAGCUCCUCCACAAAGGUCAAUCUCUCAUCCAGUUGAGCUGAGUCCUACUUAAGUACAUGAGACUCAUUAGGAAUGUGCCACCACUACAGGAAGGACAUAAAUUUUAGGGCUUUUUGAAUUAUUCAUUUUUGUGCGAUUUGACCAUUUUCCCCUCCCCGUGGUUGCUUUGUGGUAUUUUCGGGUAUGAAAGAUGAUUAGAAUAGUUUCCAAUGCCUUGUGAUGUAAUUUGUUUGAGUUUUUAGUUUUUAGUUUUGAUUCCUGUGAGAUUGUGGUUUUUGGUGGUAAAAAGGCCUAUUAGUUUACUUUGAUCCACACUUAUUGAUCUAUACAUCGUAUGGUAGAACGAACUAUGCUAGUAGAUCUGAAACGUCGAUUUUAGGUUAGUAACAUGCUUUGUGUAAUUUUAUGAUUUGUGAAUCUCAUUUCGACCCUUGGUUUGAAAAGUUGUGAAUUUUGUUUUUUUGGGUCAACUUUGUGUAAACAUCAUUUUUCCUAAAAUUUGAUAUCGCUAUUGAGUCUAGAGCAUCAAAUUUAGUCUAAUAACAUAGCUCAUUUUUAUUCUCGGUACUUCAAAUAAAUAUCAAGGGUUCCACAAAGACUUGGAAUUCUCCAAGUCUCCAAAUAGGGUACCCGCUUAGAUGACCUUUUAGUUUCUUAAAAGACCUAGCAUCCAGUUGGGGGUAUCACUUAAUUUCGACUCCCCCAUUGCUUAGGUGUCUAUUAUUUAAGUGAUAGUCAUGUCGCAUACGCGAUGAGGCAGGUAUUUGUAAAGAGUCACUUGUUCGUAAGCGAUGAUCACUUAAGCAACCCGGUGGUAGCUUUAGCGGUGUUAAAUUCCCUAUUUUCAUAAUUUUCACCAUUUUUACUACUUGGAGCUUGGUUUUUCAUGUUUUUGGAUGAUUUCUUCUAUUUUUAAACUAGGGUAGGCUCCAAAAACAUAUUUUAAUUAUUAUUUUUUGAUUCUUUUCAUUUAAAUCCUUUUAAAACGGAAAUUCAGAGGUUGAAUAGAGAAAUUUAGGCUCGAAAGGACUAAAAUUUGUAAUUUUUUGAUUGAAACCUCAAUUCCAACUCAUUAUCACUUGGGUUUUCAUCUAAAAUUUCCUUUAACUAUGGGUAUUAUGUUUUUGUACUAUAAUUUUGGUUAUACCCUUCUUUUCCAAAACCCCAUUUCGAGGGUUCAUUUUGGCCCCAACUCAAAAGUGGGCAAUAUGGCUAUCAUUGAUUUUCCUUUAACCCGUAGAUUAUACAUUUGUGCAUUUUAAUUGAUUUUGGGUCUGUUCGUGAGGAAAAAUAUUUAUGGUAAAUGCUUUUGGACAAGUUUUCUAAAUUGUAGGUAGGUUAUGACUUAACUUUCUUCAAACUGGGUUGAGUAUUUAAUAUUGGUAUAAAAUCAUGUUGUGGGUGUGGGUAUUGGGUUUUGGUAUUAUUUUUCUCAUUUUAUAUUCAUUUCGGAGAUAGGCUUACUUGUCAAGGCUUUUCGCAACAAGUGUCAUGAUGACCCUUGAUUUUUUCGUUGUGAAAAUAACAUCGAAAGAUAGAACACCAGAUGAACAACAAAAAAAUUUGGGAGUAAGGCUAACUUAUAAGCCACCUCUCCAACUGUACGAAGGAUAUCAAAAGGUACAAUAUACCUGGGACGAGAUUUCUCUUUCUCCCAACCUCAUCAUACCUUUCAUGGGUGAUACUCGAAGGAUUACUCGGUUUCCAACUCAAAACCUAAAGGCACGAAGUAUAUGAUUUGCAUAAACCUUUUGUCUACUCUGAGCGACCCUCGGCCUAUUUUAAAUCACUCUAACUCUAUCCCAUGACUCCUGAAGGAAGUCAGUAGCACAGGGUCUAAUAUAGGAGAUCUAGAACCAUCCAAUUGAAGAUCAACAAUUCCUACAAUAUAAUGCGUCAAAUGGUUCCAUCUCGAUACUCUAAUGGUGGCUAUUGUUAUACGUAAACUACACCAAGGCCAAAAGGUGCUCCCACUAGCCUCCAAAAUCUAUAACAUAGUCUCGUAGAAUAUCCUUGAAACCUGAAUAGUUCACUUUGACUACCCAUUGAUUUGAUGGUGAAAAGCUAUGUAGAGAUCUACCUGAGUAUCUAACUCCUCCUGAAAAUCUCUCCAGGAUCUAGAAGUGAACACUGAGCCUCGGUCUGAAAUGAUAAAUAUAGGCACUUCAUAUAGGUAAAAUAUCUCAGGAACAUAGAAACGGGCUAACCUCUCUGCACUGAAGCAUAUCUAAAUAGGAAUGAAAUAUGCUGAUCUGGUCAAUCGAUCUACAAUAACACAAAUACAGUCGGAACCACAAGAGGUGAAAGGCAAGAUACUAACAAAACCAUAGUGAUCCCCUCCCACUCCUACUCAAGAAUGGGUAAUCUCUAAAUCACUUGAUCGGGACUCUGAUGUUCAGCCAUCACCUGCUGACAACUUAGGCAUUGAUCUACAAAGUCUUCCAUAUCUCUCUUAUACUGAUCCAUUAAUAGAGCUGCCUCAAAUCCUUAUACAUCUUAGCUUUACCAGAAUGAAUACAAUAGCUAAAGCUGGAGCAUCAUGCAGUAUCAAAUGAAUCAAGUUCCAACCUUUGAAACACAAUCACAACCAUCAAAUCUCAAAAGACCCUCAGAAGGUAUGGUAUCCCCCGUGGUCUCACCACUCAACACCUGAUAAUGGAUGAUACCAAGCCUUAUAUCUUUGAAUUGAUGACUCCAAAUCUUCUCAAACCCUAGUAAGAAUCCUCUUGGGUUGAAAAUGUCCUGUCGCACCAUAAUGUUGGCUAAGGACUAAAUGUCCCACUCCAACAACAUCUCAAAAACUAAAAUAGAAACCAAGCUACAAAUACUCACUGCCUUUCGGCUCAAGGCAUCUGCUACAAUGUUUGAUUUGCCCUUAUGGUAUAGAAUAGAGAUAUCAUAGUUUUUAAGCAACUCCCACUAUCUACGUUAUUUAGAAUUAAGCUCUCUAGGUCAUAAGUUGUUGAGGACUACAAUGAUUGGUGUAGAUCUCACAAUGCACACCAAAUAGAUAAUACCUCAAAAUCUUAAGGGCAAAAAUACCUCGGCCAACUAAAAAUCAUAAGUUAGGUAGUUAUGCUCAUGCACUUUUAGCUGCCUAGACUCAUAAGUAAUAACUUGACCCUGUUGUAUCAAAACACAACCCAAACAGACUUUAGAAUUAUCACAAUAUAUAGUGAAUCCCUCACCCUCAACAGGAAGAGCCCAUAUAGGAGCUGAGGUGAGAAAUCCCUUCAGCCCUCGAAAGAUCAACUCACACUCCUUAGACUACUAGAAGGGAACCUCCUUUCGAGUUAAUUUGUUCAUUGGUGUUGGAUUAGUAGCAAAACCCUCAAUGAACCACCUAUAGUAACCAUCCAACCGAUGAAGUUGUGAACCUCAAAUGGAGAUGUAGGCCUUUACCAAUCACGAAUAGCCUCUAUCUUUGUUGGGUCCACCAUAAUCCCAUCCUUAGACACCAUAUAUACUCAGAAUAUCACUAACUCGAGCCAAAAUUCACACUUUGAGAAUUUGACAAAAAGCAUAUGAUCUCAAAAAUUUUGGAGAACAAUUCUCAAAUAUUGCAUAUGCUCCUACCUACUUCCCGAAUACACAAGAAUGUCACCAAUGAACACAAUCAUGAAGGAAUCCAAACAUGGCCUUAACACGAAGUUCAUCAAAUUCGUAAAUAUUGUUGUGUCAUUUAUCAACCCUAAAGAAAGAAAGAAAUAGGAACUCAUAAAGAUGAUAACAAGUCCUAAAGGCUAUCUUUGGGAUGUCCUUAACUGAUGGUAAUCAAACCUCAAGUCAACCUUAAAGAACAUUGUUUCUCCAUGAUAUUGGUCACAUAAAUCAUCAAUGUGAGGCAUAGGAUACAUAUUCUUCACGGGCAUAUUAUUAAGCUGCCUGUAGUUAAUACACAUAUGUAAGGAGCCAUCAUUCUUCUUUAUAAAUAAGAUAGGAGCACUGCAAGGUGACACACUUUGUCUAAUGAAACCUUUACAUAGAAUAUCCUGAAGUUGAGAAUUCAUCUCCUUAAGCUCAACAAGAGACAAAUGGUAAGGUUUCUUAGAAAUGGUUAGUGGUCGACUCAAGAAAAAUUAUAAACUCAAUAUCACACUCAGGAGGAAGACCAAGCUAAUCGAUAGAAAAAUAUCAAAUUUAUAGGCUAUAAAAAUAGAUUCAAGUGAGGGACUCUCCACAAUAACAUUACAAAUAUAAGUGAUACAAUACUACAAACUCUCAAUAUAGUCUCCUAUCCUAAAUAGAAGAAAUUAUCCACGUUGACUCACAGCUAAUAGGUUCCUACCACACAAAUAGGGGUAUAUCUUGCAUGGCUAAGUUAACAGUCUUUCCAAAAUAAUACAAUGCUGCAUGAUAAGAGGAUAAACAACCAAUGCCCAGAAUCACAUCAAAACUGUUAUGUCUAACACAAUAAGAUCAUCUUAAGUAUCAAACUCUCAAAUAGACACAACACGUGAUCUAUAAACCCGAUGUACUAAUAAAGAAUCACCUAUGGGAGUAGAUACGUAUAACACACAAAUAAAGAAUCCUACGAUAACUCUAACUUUAGUGUAUAAUAAGUAGAUUCAUAUGAAUAAGAGGAUCCUGGAUAAAAUAAAGCAAAAUAUUAUUGAUGGCAUACUGAAAUAGUAAUUGUAAUGAUAGCAUAUGAAGACUCUGCCUUGGGUCUACUAGGUGCGACAUACAAAUGACCUCACCUGCCACCUGGUUGGGUGUCUAAUUGAUCUUCUAUCUUACCUGCCUGACGACCUCUAUGAGCACCCUAAGGACCACUUGGCGACCGCAUACCACUACUAGAUGGAGGUGAAAAACAUAAUUGAUGAAAUACUAUAUGUUGUCGGAACAACUUCCUCACGUUUGAGAUAAUUUUUAGAGAAAUGGCCAAUUUCCCCACAACCAUUAUAUGCCCCAGGUUCUGUACUGAACUCAAAAUAUAUAGAUGACCCAAGAAAACCACCUCGACUAGAAUACACAAAAUAUAAACCUCUCAGAAGGAAACUAUUACUUUGACAAAGAAGAUUACUGUAGCUAGAUUGGCCUUCAUUGAUAAUAUAAAGUGUAACAUUAAUGGGGCUACUAGGAUGACCCUAAUGCUGAUAAGGCUGAUGCAAAGGGUAACUAUUUUGAGAACCACUACCUCUGAACUAUGAGCCACUUUGGCUCCUACUUUUUAUGAUAUCGCAACCUCUUAUCGCUACCCCAUCGGGCCUCGCUAUACAUCUCCUCUAUUUUCUAUUAUGAUUAGACUAUAAUACAAAAGACCUGCCAUCCACAACCAAACUUUGCAUAGCCAUGAUAAGAUGAAGUCAUAAUCCCCAAACAAACCACCAAACCCACUUAUACUUAGUUGUCAAGAUAGAUGUAACAUGCAUAAACAACUCAUGGAAUUGAUCCUCAUACUCAGCCACAUGCAUAGAACCCUACUCUAAUCUCAUGAAUUAUUCUCUUAGACAAUCUUUAUGGUUGCAAAGAAUAUACUUCUCUAAGAAGACCUUAAAGAAUUAAGUCCAUGCAAAAGAAGGAGAUACCGCUACCUUGGAAUCAAGAUAACCUCUCAAAUAGUGUCAAGCUACCAAAUCCAACUAAAAAGUUGUGUAAUCCAGAAUAGGACUCUUAACUAGGUCAAAAUUAUGGACCCUAUCCUCGCAAGCAACCAUGAAAUCACAACCUUCGUUGCCCAAUGAGCUAAUAAACCUAACUAGGGCAAAUUGCUAGAAUUUAUCCAGGAUAUUCUAAUCCUUAAUAGAUAUAGUAGGUUAGGAAACUACCAACUGAGCAACUGCCGGUGCAAGAGAAACCUUAAAUCUAGGAGCUAUAAUUAUAUGUUGCGCCCUAGCCUCAAUACCACUCUCAUUAAUAGACUGCACACCAUUAGAUGGUGCACCACCAAUUAAUACCAAGAGCUAAACCAAUGCAUACCUGAGUAGUGACAAUGACAUAAUCCCUGGUGGAGCCUUGCCUAGGCCUUGGACCACCAUUAGUCAGUGUGGAGAAAUCUCUAGUACAGGAGAUAGAAUUGGGUCUUGUUAAGUCAUUCUAUCUUGCUCUUUAGCCAGUGCUGUAUCUCCUAGAUGUCCUCAACCUCUAGGUUAUUCACAGUCUUGGGGUCCUCGUCUCAUAUAGUAGUAGCACGCGUCCUUGUCAUUUUUAAUAUGUAAAACCAAAUGAAUCUUUUGAAACCAAAUCAGACACAUAGCGCAAAAUGAGUGAAAGAAGUGAAGUUCUUCUCUGAAUGUCCUAUAGCCUCUUGAAUAUAAGAAAUAGAUGUCAUCAUUCUGAUUUUUAGGACUCUACGAGUCACUUGCUCCUAUACCAACAAUAUUGGUGAACUAAGAUCUUUUAGACAAAUUUGUCAUAACCCAAUUUAUGAGUCAGGAUGCACUAAUAGAGAUGCCAAAUUUUAUUUCAAACCUAUAAGCAAUAGGCUAAUUUUGUAGAAAUGGCAUAAAUGAUAGAAAACUUCAAGUAAAGGAAUUACAAGCCACAAAUCUUAGGAUAAUAAUGUAAAGGAAAAGAAAUAAGGAGAAAUAAGAAUAUCCAUGACUUAGUAAUAUUGGUACAAGAGCCUCAAAUCCCAAGGAAAACAAGUACUAUCAAGUCAAUAUACAGUUGUCUCAAAAGUUGAAAGACUAGAAAAAAUUAAAGAAGGAGAAAAGGUCAACUCUGGUUUUGAGAGCUCAGCCUAUCUCUAAACUUUUACAAGCAUAUAUCUUGUUAUCAACAAUGGUAGGUAGUUCUCGUAUCUAUACCAAAAAUGUACAAGAUGUACUAUGAGUACCAAAGCUAUAGAUAAUCAUAUGCAUCAUCGAUCUGCUCAACUAAAUCAUAAUAUAAAUAUAAUAAAAUGCGAUAUAAGUAAUGCCAAGUCAAGGGGAGAGUUCAAACCUAGAAUAUCACUUCAAAUACUAAAAAUAAACAAUAGUGAUAUAAUAAUAAAGGAAAAGAAUAGCUAUCUCUAUAUAACGGGCCUCUAUAAGCUAGAAAGUAUGAAUAAAGUAACUAAUCCAAUGUGCGCUCCCAUAAGUCCAGAGGGUGAAAUCAAGGAGGAAUAACAAUUAGAAUUAUACAACUUAACCAUAUUUCAAAAUCUUAACUGUUAAAUAUUCCAUAUCGUGGAACAAUAGGCUCAAACUGGUUCUAUAACUGUCAUAAUCAAUACCUCAUUGUCGUACAUGAAUAGGAACUCAUAUCAUAAUUUUUUGUAAUUGAGCUGAAACUCAUAUUAUUAUUUGCUAAACAUGAACCUGAUUUCAUAUCAUAGAUAAUGCCACAAUCGAACCAAUCUUAAUAUCAUAAAUUUCCAGAUUCAAACUAGAACUCAUAUCAUGACCCAAGUAUCAAUCUAUAAUAAAGAAUCAUGAUUCUAAACCUCCUGGGCUCAAGAAUGUAAUUUAGAAUAUUGUGCAAGGAUUAUAGGUCCUACAAGGAGUUUAUAUCAAUCUUGGCCUAAGGUGGGCUACGGGGACCUACUUCUAUCUCCUAAAUUUAUUCUGAGGUAAAUUCUACCCUGAACUAGGAUAAGGUGCCUAAUUUUGCUACUAGAUAUUAAAUAAGACACAAUUUAGUCCUAAGAUAAUAAAUCUACCUAAAAAUGAGUAAUGAAGUCAGUUAUGCCUAAUUACUAUUCCUUAUUUGACUAAAAGAUCCAAAUCACACAAAAUAUACCUCCAAGUCCUAACUCUCAUCCCAAAGCUAGAAUAAUAUCAUACUCAUAUUAUAAUUAAGGUCAAUCUAAGAGAAAGUUAAACGUAGCCUACUGGAUGCCAAAGAAACCCAAUGAAAUCUGCUAAAUUGAUAUUUUCUCCUUUUGAGAAGCUUCAAAUCUAUGAUAUACUAUAACAAUGGUAAUCUAUUAAUCAAUAUGAGAACAAUAGUAUCCCUAUUGAAUUUGUAUGAUUUGGGUCCAAAAUCACAUAAAAAUCUUAUGUGGGGUUCGAUUGCGGAAUCACACUUUUAAAAUCGUCAAUGCAUCCCUCGAUGCUAAAGGUUCAUUGACCCUCAAGAAUGGGUAAAUUCUAUGCUCAAAUAACACUAAAAUAAAACCAAAAUAAUCUAGGGGUUUUCGUAAUAAAUUGAGUGAUCAACCAAGAAUUUAAUGAAAACUUACCAAGAUUUCAAAGGAGAAAUCAGUAAUCCGAUCUCAUAACUACUCCACAAUCCCUCAAUAAUUUUCUCUAAAUUUCCCACACUCUCUAGGAUUAUAAUGUUUGGUGCUUGUGAGAAAAAUAGGAUAAAAUUUGGGUAAUUAGGCAUUUAAUGGCCUCCUAGAUGCUGCUUAAGCACCCACUUGACUAUAUAAGCAAUCAACGCUAUAGCGUCUCGGUACCACUAAAGCGGCAUCUACUGAGGCCUUACAUACUGCUAAAACAACUAAUUGGGAAAACCAAGGGUGCUAAAUAGACUUGUAUAACUCCUCGAAUCUGUACCCCGGACGCCACAUGAUGCUCAUAAUCCCGAAGGACCACAAGCUAACCCAUGAAUGGUACCUAUUGUAAUAACUGAAUAGUAAUACUGUAAUUAUACAGAAAAUAGGUGAAAACAUGCCAUAAGGUUCAAAUCUGAAAUAAAUAUUGAAACUAAACAUCUAUCUGAAAAUACUCUAGUUUGAAAAACCUUUUAUGUCUGAACAAGGAGUUGAUAAGAUAAGUCCCCAACUAACUUUGACUACUAAAAUAAACUGAGUACUAAGAUACUGUAAUAGUAAAUUUAUCCUCGAACAAUGAGGACUCACUACUAGUCUGCUGCUGAUGGAUCAAGCUGAUAAGUAUGAUUGGGAGCCCGUGCGUUUGAACCUAUGAUAUAAGAAAAUUAUAUCGUAAAAGAAAGGUAUGUGUCAGUAAUUUGAAUAUAUUAGUAUGCUAAGCGAGGUAGGAUGAGAUGCAUGGAUUCAUAUGCAUAAACAAUACUGACUAAAAUAACAUGAGUAUAACUAAAUGAGAGUACAUGUAUGAAUACGUAAACUAUAACUGAGGUCAUGAUAACACUAGAUAUUGAGUUCUGAAUUACUGAUUUACUGAUAUCUGAGUUUACUGAUACUGUAUUACUGUUAACUGGGUGACUGCGUAUGACAGUCCUGAUUCUGUGGAACUAUUUUGAGUUCCUUACUGAACUAAAUGACUAUGUCUGACAGUCCUAAUUUCUGUAGAAUUGAACUAAGUUCUAUUAUAAAGACUAAAACUGAGACUGUGGGAGAUAAUCAUCUAACUGACAUUCCACUUUCUAAAUAGAUUGGGGUCCAAUGUAGAACCCAGUUGUAAGGGUGUCAGUAUUGUACCACGAGUAAAGACAAUUGUGAGUUAACCCUCUCUGACAGAAAGCUCUUUCAUCAACCCUCGCUGGCAGGAAAACUCGAAUGAGAUGUAUCAACCCUUGUUUGAACGAAAGAUAUCUCAACGUAUGCUGGCUAUGAAGUUCCGUAACACAGGUAUUGCAACUAAGGGUCAAACCCUCUGCUGGCAGGAAUCCCCAUCCCUGGGUUCACUCGGUGCUGAAUCCUACUCCCAACUAAAUAGACACUGAAUUGAUUCCUAGUUAACACUAGGCUUGACUAAACUGUUAUUGAUUAUACUGUCUAACUGAACUUAAUUGAGUUCAUAGAAGUUCAUUGACUGAUGGAAUACUACUAAAUUUUAUUAACUGACUAAAUUUACUGAGGUUUGAACUGAAUUCUAAAUUGGACUGGAUUGAUACAGAGUUUACUGAGUUUUUCCUGAGUUUUAUAACUGACUGAGAGUACUACUAAUCUUAACAUGACUGAGAUUAUUCUAUAACUGACAUUGGAUCUAGGUAAACAACUAAAUUGUCGGGUAUUAAAUACCCCAGGACUCAAUAGCAUGAAAAGUAAAUCACUGCAUGAAUUUAGUAGCAUAAUGGUACUAGCUUGCUAAUAAUACAUUCACUUAGACAUCUUUGGUCAAAAACUUGUUAUACAUGAGCUUAUGCAUGAUUCAAAUCACACAAUAACAUGUUAUGCUUGGACUAGUCUAAUCACAUAAGCAUUUUGACAAACACUUGGUGAACAUGGGUAUUUCACAUAUCAAUAAACAUGUAGUAAUAUCAUAGAUUCUACAUUCAACUUGUAAAUCAAGAGUUUGACAUGUAGUUCACAAAUCAAUUCACAAUUACACUAGUUUGCAUGAAACUUGCGACAAAUUGUGGAAUUAGAUCACCAUUAACAUCAUAAUCAUUAAUACAUUCAAGAUCCAACAUGAAAUCCAUGAAAUCAAUUAACAUGUAUUUAGAAAGAGUUUCUUGAACUCCAAAGGUGGAAGGAAACCCUUAGAUGAACACUUCACAUACCUUGGUAUUCAAAUUUGUGAAGAAUGAUAGAGUAUUCUUGAAGGCUGAAUGUUGAAUUGGAGAUCCUAGGGUUUGCUUCUUGAGAAAUUUUCAGAAAGAUGAAUGGAUUUUUUCUUUAAAGAGGCUUAAUUUCAUGUUUUGGGGGUUGACAUAAGGUAGGAAAAGACUCAAUUACCCUUGAGGAUAGGGCUUUUUAAUGACUAAAAAUUGAUUUAGCGACGCGUCGCGUCAUUGAUAUCGAUGUGAUUGCCAACAUAGCGUUGAGUCCGCAUUGGUUCUCUGGAAUUUACAUUGGGAGCUAGGGAAAAAUACUCAUUGACGCGAUAGAUGAUGCGACGCGUUGAGAUCGCAUCGAUCCAUUUGUUUGAGCUUUCAAAUAUGUUUCAAACGAUGUUCAAAAAAUCUAAAACUUAUUCGAGAAUGCCUACUGAUAUUCCUAAUCUUAAAUUAACCUAAAAAUCGAUAUUUAAAUGUCAUAAAGGUCGUGAAAAAGGAUCACCAACUUACGAAAGCUAAAAUAACUCUAAGUAUAAACACUUAGCUAAAUUUUUCAAAGUUUGGGACCCCUUACUAGCUUUUACAAGACUGAAUCAAGCUUAGGAUUUUGCGGGGUCUUGUAAUAACUCCCCCUUGGAACAUUCAUCCUCAAAUGAGACUAACUAAGCGAGGAAUAUUGAUAGACUGAAUUUAGAUACUGGAUAUGCAUAAAUGCAACAUGAUUUCAUAACUGACACUACUGAUAUGCUAUAAUUUCUUACUAAAUAUGGAUAUCUGAUGUAUAAGUACAUAGCUGAUCAUGAUUCAUAAAGGCAUGACUGGGAUUGCUAAUAAGCUGAGUUUCAUAUGAUAAACAUGCAUAUUUGAUAUAUGAAGUCACAACUGAAUAUGGAAUGGUAACUGGUACCAAGUCUAUAAAGGAAAAUCUGAGUAUGGAACUGAGUAAGUUCAAUGAAAAACUAUUACCUUAGGCUGAGUCUGAGUUUGCGGGGAAGAGGUAAGGAUACUUAGUUCAUAUAUCAGUUUCUUCUUCUCAAGUAGCUCCCUUAACAGACUGAUUCCACCAAAGAACUUUGACUAGAAUGACCUCUUUAUUCCUCAGUCUGUGAAUCUGAUAAUCAAAGAUUUUGACUAGAAUAUUCUCAUAAGAGAGAUUGUUCAGAACGUCUAUACUCCCUACAGGGACUACAACUACUAGGUCACCUAUGAAUUUCCUUAUCAAGGAGACAUGGAACACUGGAUGGAUUGAAGCUAAGUCUGAAGGCAACACAAGCUCGUAAGUUACCUUUUCGAGAUAGUUGAGAAUUCUGUAAGGACCGAUAUAUCGGGGACUAAGUUUUCCCUUCUUGCCAAACCUCUUCACUCCUUUCAUAAGAGAGAUCUUCAAAUACACAUAAUCACUAAUCUCAAACUUAAUAUCCUUUCUACGUACAUCUGUGUACGAUUUUUUCAGCUUUGAGCUGUCUUAAGCCUUUCCCUGAUCAACUAAACUUUUUCUAAGGUAUCAAAUUCCAAGUUAGGCCCUAACACUGUGGCCUUACCCACUUCAAACCAACCAAUAGGAGAUCCACAUCUCCUUCUAUAGAGCACCUCAAAUGGAGCCAUCUGAAUGCUGGAAUGAUAGUUGUUUUUAGAUGCGAACUCAAUCAAAGGCAAGUGGUCAUCCCAACUACCUUUAAAGUCUAUCGCACAUGCUCACAGCAUAUCCUCUAAAGUCUGAGUGGUACUUUCUACUUGACCAUCUAUAUGAGGGUGGAAGGUUGUACUGAGGUGGACUUAGGUACCAAGACCCUUUUGGAACGCCUUCCAGAAAUGAGAGGUGAACUACGUAUCUUUAUUAUAGAUUAUAGAUUUCAAAACUCCGUACAAUCUGACCAACUUUCUGACAUUGAGUUUGGCAUGGUCCUCAGCUAAAUAAGAGGUAUGAAAUGGUAAGAAAUAAGCUGAUUUGGCUAUCCUAUCUACAAUGACCCAAAUUGAAUCGUGCUGACGAUGAGUAUGAGGCAAACACAUUAUAAAAUUCAUGUUCACCUCCUCCCACUUCCAAAUGGGAAUACUGAACUUCUGCAUAGACCCAAUAGGUUUUUGAUGCUUAAUCUUAACCUGCUGACACGUAGAGAACUUAAAUACAAACUCUGCGAUAUAUCUCUUCGUCUAACUCCAUAAAUAGAUAUCCCAUAAAUCAUAAUACAUCUUAGUGGCCCCUGGAUGAAUAAAGUAAUGUGUGCCAUGCGCUUCUGCAAGAAUAUGCUUUCUUAGGUCAUCUACAACUGGCACACAUAGCCGACUCUAACAACAUAAUACACCAUAUCCCCCUUGGGAGAAAACCUGUAUCUUAUAAUCUCUGACUGAUUCUUUCAACUUAACUAGGCUAGGAUCCCUAUCCUACUUUUCCUUUACUUGGGAAACUAGGGAUGAUUUUAAACUACUCUACGCCCAUUCUGCUAAAUUGACUAAGCGGACACCUAGUCGGUCAAGCUGAAGAACUUUCUGAGCUAAAUUCUUCUUACCAUCAUCCACGUAAGCAACACUACCCAUAUACAUCCUACUUAGAGCAUCAGCUACUACAUUGGUUUUACCCGGAUGAUAUAGGAUGCUCAUGUCAUAGUCCUUCAACAACUCCAUCCACCUUCUCUGAUGGAGGUUUAGGUCUUUCUGAGAGAAUACAUACUGUAGGAUCAUAUAGUCAGUGAACACAUCAACGUGCACUCCAUACAAAUAGUGCCUCUAAAUCCUUAAGGAAAAUACUACUGCUGCUAACUCAAGAUCAUGAGUUGGAUAGUUUUUUUCAUGGGGCUUAAGCUGUCUAGAGGCGUAGUCUAUGACUUUACCUCUCUGAAUCAAAACACACCCCAUACCAACCCUAGAAGCAUCACAAUAUACCACAAAUUUAUCUGAACCAUUUGGUAGAGUCAAAACUGGGCCUAUAGUGAGUCGAGUGUUCAACUCCUAAAAACUCUUCCCACAAGAUUCUUACCACUGGAAUUUGACUUUGUUCUGAGUCAAUCUAGACAUUGGCAAUGCAAUAGACAAAAAUCCCUCAACAAAUUGUCGGUAAUAGUCAACCAAACCCAAGAAACUUUGGAUAUCUGAUGGAGAGAUGGGUCUGGGCCAGUUUCUCACCGCUUCGGUCUUUUAGGGAUCAACCUAAUGCCAUCACCAGAAAUGAUAUAGCCGAGGAAAGCUACUGACCUUAGCCAAAGUUCCCACUUACUGAAUUUGGCGAAUAACUGAUGGUUUUGGAGAGUUUGCAAUACUAUUUUGAGAUGGUCUGUAUGAUCACGCUCACGGAGGAAGUAGAAAAGGAUGUCAUUUAUGAAGACUAUGAUGAAUAUGUCCAAGUACUACUUGAACACAUGGUUCAUCAAGUCCAUGAAAGCUGCUGGGGUAUUGGUAAGACCAAAGGACAUGACUAAGAAUUUGAAGUGACCAUACCGAGUUUUGAAAGUUAUUUUUGGAAUGGCACAUUCUCUGACUCUGAGCUGAUAAUAGCCUGAUCUGAGGUCUAUUAUAGAAAAGUAACUGGCAACCUGAAGUUGGUCAAAUAAGUCAUCAAUUCUGGAAAGUAGAUACUUGUUCUUGACCGUAACUUUAUUUAGCUGACGGUACUCUAUACACAUUCUGAGGGAACUAUCUUUCUUAUGCACGAAUAGAACUGGUGCGCCCCACGGGGACAUACUGGGUCUGAUGAAUCCCUUAUCUAGGAUAUCUUUCAACUGUUCUUUUAAUUCUCUGAGUUCUGCAGGUGCUAUUCUGUAUGACAGAAUAGAUAUAGGCUGAGUGUUUGUAAAAAGGUCUAUUCCGAAGUUGAUUUCCCAUUCCACUACCAGAAAUUCGCUAUUUUUCGACCAAAAAUUCCAACUAAAAAAACUUAGUCGUAAAUUUCUGACUAUUUCAGUCGGAUUAUUUACUUUUUUAUUAUUUUAUUUUAUAAAAUAUUUCCCCGAUACUAUUUAUGACUACAAUAGUCAGAAUAUUUGGCGGUAAAUUCCUGAAAAUAUAUAUUUCAACUGUUGUAGUCGAAAAUAUAAAUAAUUAAAUAAAUACAUUAAUAAAUAUAUAAUUAAACCCUUCUAUAGAAAUUAAAUAAUUAUUUAAGUAAAUUAUUACCAAUUAUUUUCUGACUACUGUAGUCGAAAAUAUAAAUAAUUAAAUAAAUAAAUUAUUAAAUAUAAAUUUUUGACCACUUUAGUCGGAAUACUAAAGCUAAAUAAAUAUAUGACUAAAUAUAUAUAUAAUCAUACCCUUAUACAAAAAUUAAAUAAUUAUUUCAAUAAAUUAUUACCAAUAUAUUUUCGACCACUGUAGUUGAAAAUAUAAAUAAUCAAAUAAGUAAAUUGUUAAAUAUAUAUUUUCGACCACUAUAGUCGGAAAUAUAGAUAAUAAAAUAAAUAAAUUAUUAAAUAUUUAUUUUUAAACACUAUAGUCAGAAAUACUAAUAGCUAAAUAAAUAUAUGACUAGAUAUAUAAUCAUACCUUAUAGAAAAAUUAAAUAACUAUCUAAAUAAAUUAUUAUCAAUAUAUUUUCGACUGUGUUAGUCAGAAAUAUAAAUAAUCAAAUAAGUAAAUAAUUAAAUAUAUUUCUGACUAUUAUAGUUGAAAAUAUAAAUAAUAAAAUAUACAAAUUAUUAAAUAUUAUUUCUGACGACGGCCAAGGCCAAGCGAAUUUCUCUCUUGAAUUUCUGUGUUCUGGUUUGGAUUCCGAUUUUAUGUUUACGGUACAUUUGAAAUUUAGCUUGAUUUUAGGUAUAUACACAUGCUCUAUUCGUAUAACUUUAGCAUUAUGGUUCAUAGUAACAUUAUGUAUAGUUGAAACUUGAAGGUAGAUCAAUGUUGUUUAUCGAGUUUAUAGUGUGAAUUAGUUGCUUUGUUUCAGAAUAUUUGAUACAACUCUGUUUAACAUAUUCAGGCCAAUUGUAAUAUAAUUGAUGCGUUAAAAAUGUAUAUGUAAUGCUUAAAUCAUUUUUAUAUGAGGAGAAUUCUAGCUUACCAGCUUAGGUAUGAUUCAAUUUCAAUUUAAGUUCAAGUGGAUACAUGUGAUGGUGUAGCUUCUGCUGAUCAAUGAAAUCUUGUUUACUUGAUUAAAAAUAAAAUAAUUUUUUUUUAAAAAAAAAGUGGUGUAACAUCUGUAGUUAUGAUUGUGCGCAAAUUGACUUGCCGUUAUCGGUAUUUUUCAGCUUGCUGGAUGAGUAUCUAUGUCAUUUGUAUUGUACAUUCUGGUAUGAUGAAUGGAUGGAAAAUAGCUUUGUCAUUACCAUUCCUAAUAUGUAUUAGAGACCCCUACCUGAUAGUUUUUUUAUUACCAGAUGAAUAUCUGGUUCACAUGUGUUAUACCUUCUACGGUAAUGGUUAUAUGGAAAUUGAUUUGAUGUUAUUAGUUUCUGAUGUGUAUUUCGGUCCCUUUGCCUAUUAUAUUAUUAUUAUUACAGUAGCAUGUUUCAUCUGGUUGGAUGAGUAUCUGUGUUCAUAUAUGUGGUACAUUCUUCACUGAUGAUUGUAUGGGAAAUUGAUUUGUUGUUAUCAUUUCCUAAUAUAUGUUGCACUUCCUUGCUGAAUUCCGAAACUACCAGAGUAACUUUUACCUUCACCUGACCAGAUUAGUAUGUGCAUAUUCUUUGUACCUUGGGAAAUUAUGAUUAUACCAAGGGUUUAGUCAAUUUCUAAUGUGUAUUGCACGCACUUUGACUAGUAAUGGUAUAUCUGGAGCAAACUUUCAUCUGCCGAGAUUAGUAUGU